AGUGAACGCUGGCGGCGUGCCUAAUACAUGCAAGUCGAACGGAGUGGCGCACGGGUGAGUAAUAUAUAGCUAAUCUGCCCCUUUCUGGAGGACAACCGUUAGAAAUGACUGCUAAUACUCCAUAGGAAGGGAUGAGACUAUAUCGUAUCAGCUCGUCGGUGGGGUAACGGCCUACCGAGGCUAUGACGCGUCACUGGGCUGAGAGGAUGAUCAGUUACGUUGGAACUGAGACACGGUCCAAACUCCUACGGGAGGCGGCAGUAGGGAGUAAUGCGCAAUGGGGGAAGCCCUGACGGGGCAACGCCGCGUGGAGGAUGACACUUUUCGGGGCGUAAACUCCGGUUGUUAGUGAAGCGGUACCUAACGAAGAAGCACCGGCUAACUCCGUGCCAGCAGCCGCGGUAAUAC
rnacentral:rRNA from 1 species